UGAGGAAUAUUGGUCAAUGGGCGGGAGCCUGAACCAGCCAAGUCGCGUGAGGGAAGACGGUCCUAUGGAUUGUAAACCUCUUUUGUCGGGGAGCAAAGAGGCCACGUGUGGUCAAAAGCGAGAGUACCCGAAGAAAAAGCAUCGGCUAAACUCCGUGCCAG
rnacentral:rRNA from 1 species